GAAUGGUUGGACGAAAUAUAUACUGUUUCAUUUAAAAUUUAAAUAGAAUUUUAUUUUUUAGUUAAAAAGCUAAAAUAUAGUCAAAAGACGAGAAGACCCUAUAAAUCUUAAUUGUGUAUAAAUUUUUAAUUUGGGUUGAUUUUUUUAAGUAUAAAUUUAUAUAUAAUUUCAUUGGGGUGAUGUUAAAAUUUAAUUAACUUUUAAUAAUUUUAUUCAUUUAUUUAUGAUUAAGUGAUCCAUUAUUAGUGAUUAUAAAUUUAAGUUACUUUAGGGAUAACAGCGUAAUUUUUUUGGAGAGUUCUUAUCGAUAAAAAAGUUUGCGACCUCGAUGUUGGAUUAAGAUUCAUAUUUAAAUGUAGAAGUUUAAAUAUUAAGUCUGUUCGACUUUUUAUUCUUACAUGAUCUGAGUUCAAACCGGUGUAAGCCAGGUUGGUUUCUAUCUUUGAUUUAAUAAAAUAUUUUAGUACGAAAGGAAUUAGUAUUUAUUUUUUAGAAAUUUAAUUAAUGAAUAAAUU
rnacentral:rRNA from 1 species